rnacentral:rRNA from 1 species
CUACGGGGUGCUCCAGUGGGGGAUAUUGCACAAUGGGCGAAAGCCUGAUGCAGCAACGCCGCGUGAAGGAAGACGGUUUUCGGAUUGUAAACUUCUAUCAGCAGGGAAGAAAAUGACUGUACCUGACUAAGAAGCCCCGGCUAACUACGUGCCAGCAGCCGCGGUAAUACGUAGGGGGCAAGCGUUAUCCGGAAUUACUGGGUGUAAAGGGUACGUAGGCGGCUGAUCAAGUCAGAUGUGAAAGCCCGGAGAUCAACUCGGGACUGCAUUUGAAACUGGUCGGCUAGAGUGCAGGAGAGGAAAGUGGAAUUCCUAGUGUAGCGGUGAAAUGCGUAGAUAUUAGGAAGAACACCAGUGGCGAAGGCGGCUUUCUGGACUGUAACUGACGCUGAGGUACGAAAGCGUGGGGAGCGAACAGGAUUAGAUACCCGCGUAGUC